rnacentral:piRNA from 1 species
UACUCACGGAACCCAGGCUCUUUCUCUCA